ACACUGUAAACCCUAAUGUUGUAAUUAAUAAAGAAAUCAAGUUAACAUAACUUCACAUUACUUAUAACACCAAGUUUUGCCAUCAAAACUUAAACAGGUGUGUUUAAAUUACUCAUUGGCAGUAAACAUCUUUUGAAUUAAGAUUUUAAGUGUUAUAAACUCAGAAUUUCCAUUUAUUUAAAUUAUUCGCUACGUCUCUGUUUAAAAAUGAUUGGUCGCGCUUGAAAUUCUGCCUUGACAACAGCGCCGAUUGGCCAAUAUAACACAAGGCGGGAAUUUUUUGUCGAAUUUGCUGAAGACGCAGCACUGACUGCAGGUCACAUUCAUUUGAAGGACAACCUGAAAGAAGAAAUAAAUAAUAAAGUUUAAAGUUAAAUAGCUGGCAGCUGCACAAGCAGCCAAGACAGGCGUUAAAGCAGGCGGGAAGAGAGUCGUCGUGAAAGACCCAGAGUACGCUGGGACAGUAACGUUAGCAGGCAGGUGGUUAUGAAGCAGACGAGGAGGGCGAAGAGUCGAGGCCACUGGAGUAACGUUAUGCUGGUCAACACAUUUUUGUACCUUUGACUGGAAUGAACUUGAUGAUAUCUUAAAAAAUAAUCAAGCACACCAUGCAUGCAUGUCGUUACUUUCCCCUUCCUAAUUUUUUCAGGUCUACGUGGAGUUGAAUAGGAUUGCUGGUAAGAACUUGAAAAGGGAAUUUUACGAGACCCUUGACCAACAUAGUACAUGCCUCUUGGACAUUUUCAGAGCCAGAAAGGGAGUUGCUGGUCAGCUCUUGAUGAACCUUCUGAAGCAACAAAGCUAUCAGAGCCAACUGAACUUUGGUGCUUCAAGGACUACCCCUUUGGUUUGGAGAUGACUCUCCUGCUUUCUUUAAGACGUGUUUGAUGUCUGAUGAUCACAGCUCAAUUCUUUAUGUGCCAGUGGGGAUUGUGAUAGUUCAAGAUGGGACAAGAUGGGUCCCCCUCUUCGAUUGGAAUCGUAAUCAAGGGAAAAUUAGAGAUGGACAAUCUACAUGAUCUUCCUGAAGCAAUGUGCCUUCUGUUCGGACUAAUAUAUGCAUUGCACCUGAGUUACCCAAAGUCGCUGGGAUACACAUUUGACUUCAUUCAGCGGAUUCUACUUUCCUUGGGGCAGAAAGAACUGCAGCCUAAAACAAAAUCGUUGGCAAACCAG